UACGGAGGGGGCAAGCGUUGUUCGGAAUUACUGGGCGUAAAGGGCGCGCAGGCGGCUGCUCAAGUCAGGCGUGAAAGGCCUGGGCUCAACCCGGGAAUUGCGCUUGAGACUGGGCUGGCUUGAGUGCGGGAGAGGAUGGUGGAAUUCCCGGUGUAGCAGUGAAAUGCGUAGAUAUCGGGAGGAACAUCUGUGGCGAAGGCGGCCACCUGGACCAGCACUGACACUGAGGCACGAAAGCGUGGGGAGCGAACAGG
rnacentral:rRNA from 1 species